GGAUCCACGAGCUCUAGCUGUGUGGAGUUCAGACUCUGAGUAGAUUUGGGACACCUGGUGUUUGGGUGUGAGUGUUUGGUCACCCAGGAGGAAGGGGAAUAAAAUGGGAAUGUUUGGCCAUUGCACUUUGCGUGUGGCAAGGUGUUGCUGAGGCGCCAUUGGGAUCUCUGUGUUUCCGUGAAGACUGGACUUGGACUGUGAUUCGGAUCUGCUGAUACCAUCUGGCUUGGCUCUCGCUGUGUCUUAUCGUGGACCUGGUUUGGAUGACUGCACCCUC